CAUUUACACUGAAUCAUAGUAUAAAUACUAUAAUUUAUACUACGUAAAAGAGUAAUCGCGAUUUUCUAAGGUUCAGACCAUAACUAUUCUCAAUCCAAUAUUAAACGAAUAUUAAAGUAUAACAUAAAUCAUCUGAGAAAUUAAAUAAAAUCGCAAUAAUGAUUGGAUUUAAGAAAACAUGGUCAUAUGUUUUUCUCGUAAUUGCAAUAUUUGUGUGUUCAUCGUAUGGUAUGAAUUUAUUAAAAUCUAAUAGGUCUUUUAUGGACGACAAAUUUUCCUAUAAUUUUCAGCAGAAUGUAGAACUCAUGAAUGAAAUGAAUGUACAAGAUUCAGCAUCCAUAUAAAUAUAUACAAAAUAAUAAGGCACUCAACAAUUUUCAAUUAAUUAUGAAAAAAACAAAUCAACAAUUUUAAUAGAAAAAUUCAUUCAGAAAUAUAUAAAUGUUCUAUAAUUUAUUGAAUUAAAUAAAAAUGAAUAAUAAUUAUUAAACAAUAUUUAUCGAAUUUUUUUGAACUAUUAUUUUAUUUUAAAAGUAUAAUAUACUUAUACAGUAUCUGGGUGAAUACAUUAAAGAUAUUGGAAAUCAAAACACAAGUGUAUAAA